rnacentral:rRNA from 1 species
UACGUAGGGUGCAAGCGUUAAUCGGAAUUACUGGGCGUAAAGCGUGCGCAGGCGGUCCGUUAAGACAGAUGUGAAAUCCCCGGGCUUAACCCGGGAAUGGCAGUGGAAACUGGCGGGCUUGAGUGUGGCAGAGGGGGGGUGGAAUUCCGCGUGUAGCAGUGAAAUGCGUAGAGAUGCGGAGGAACACCGAUGGCGAAGGCAGCCCCCCUGGGCUAACACUGACGCUGAGGCACGAAAGCGUGGGGGAGCAAACAGG